UGAGAAGCAUGCUGGAGGUAUAAGAAGUGCGAUUGCUGACAUGAGUAACGACAUUGCGGGUAAAAACCCCGCACGCCGAAAACCCAAGGGUUCCUGCGCAACGCUAAUCGGCGCAGGGUGAGUCGGCCCCUAAGGCGAGACCGAAAGGUGUAGUCGAUGGGAAACUGGUUAAUAUUCCAGUACUUGCUGUUACUGCGAUGAGGGGACGGAGAAGGCUAAAUCUACCGGGCGUUGGUUGUCCCGGGGAAAGUAUGUAGGCAGAGAGCUUAGGCAAAUCCGGGCUCUUAAUGUCGAGAUACGAGACCAUCGGCCUUUGUGCCGAGAAGUGGUUGAUGCCAUGCUUCCAGGAAAAGCCUCUAAGCUUCAGGUAACAGUGAACCGUACCGUAAACCGACACAGGUGGGUGGGGAGAGAAUCCUAAGGCGCUUGAGAAAACUCUGGUGAAGGAACUAGGCAAAUUGGUACCGUAACUUCGGGAGAAGGUACGCCCUUGUAGCUUGACCAUGAACAAUGGAAGGGUGAAGGGGUUGCAAUAAAAUGGUG
rnacentral:rRNA from 1 species